UCUCUCUCUCUCUAGCUUCUGUCUCUGUAAAAUUUGGGUGGAUCAUAACUUUUGAUCCGUAACUCCUAAUCAGAAUCCGCGAAAGGCUACAGAUUUAUCUUGAAGUUCUAUUUCUAUUCAUGGAGGUUUGAGUUAGAUCCAACGGUGUUUUCUAGAAGGCUCGGUUUACGAUUGGUAUUCUAGGAGGUGAUUUAUAUUAUGGAAAGAAGUACUUAGGUUUUGACCAGCCGAAGUGGGUUGGAUGAGCCUAGAAUGAAGAGCCUAGAAGGAAGAUUUUAUUUACAUUCUGCUUUGUAACACUCACACCUCAGAUUCAGGGUCAGGUGCUUAAAAUUCACCGACAUCGGGUCCGAGGGUUUCCCUGUCAAAACUCUUCCUCAUUCGGCGGCAUACCCUCGUCAGCGCAGGCCUCUGGCCUUGUCGACUAGUGGCGCGUGCAGCCGGACGGGUUCUGGCCUUCGUGGUGAUGUUCCUUCAAGAUGGCAAGGAUGGUGGUGGCCGAGUUUGGGCCGCUGUUGAGACUGAACCACUCAAUCCCGAUUGGAUCCGAACGGAUCUCAGGUUGAGUGGGUUGGAUGGUCGGGUAGGCAGCAGUGCUUGGCAAGGGAUGGAUGGGGACAGGCUGGUCAGAGGGUGGAGAUGGAGGUUUAGCAUUGUCGCAGCUAUGGCAUCGAGCUGUGUUGCUGGUUUUUCAUCUUCUUUGCUAAUGUCUUAGCUGCUUGGGUUCAGAUCGGUUGCCGAUCUGCCUGUUAGGGUGGCUGGGAUUUGGGCGGAGGUAGGGACAAGGUAGAGGCCCGACGAUGGUGGCGCUGUGGUGGUGGAGGCGCUAGUGGGGCUGGGUUGUCGGCUUGGGCUGGAAUCCUGUUUGUUCCUUGCUGGGCCUAAUAGUUAUUAGGCCUAGGCUUGGCCUGUGGCUCUAGAUUUAUUUUCUUUUAUGUUUUAUUGUUACUUAUAUUUACUUAAUUGUAGCUUUAUGCUAGCAAUAAUCCCCUAUCACUUAGUGGUAGGGCAACGAGGGCUUGGACCCAGCAUGCACCUUCAGGGUGCCUUGGCUACUCUAGGUUGGCGGCGAGUUAUUUGCUUCGUCAAAUGGGCGCUGCCGCCUAGUGGCAGGGUGAGACUAGGUGUCGUCGGAUUUUUUUGGUGAGAACAUAGUAGGAAAGCUGUACUAAAGCUGGUAAUUAUACUAUGUUGUAAUCAUGUUACAUAUCGAGUUAUCUUUCCGCUAUGUUAAAGCAAAUGGAGUAGCUAUUUGGGCACUCUUUGCUAGUUGGUGCUUGUUAGAAUACAA